AUUGAACGCUGGCGGAAUGCUUUACACAUGCAAGUCGAACGGCAGCACGGACUUCGGUCUGGUGGCGAGUGGCGAACGGGUGAGUAAUGUAUCGGAACGUGCCCUGUCGUGGGGGAUAACAUAGUGAAAAUUACGCUAAUACCGCAUACGAUCUAUGGAUGAAAGCGGGGGAUCGCAAGACCUCGCGCGAUUGGGGCGGCCGAUAUCAGAUUAGGUAGUUGGUGGGGUAAAGGCCCACCAAGCCAACGAUCUGUAGCUGGUCUGAGAGGACGACCAGCCACACUGGAACUGAGACACGGUCCAGACUCCUACGGGAGGCAGCAGUGGGGAAUUUUGGACAAUGGGCGAAGGCCUGAUCCAGCCAUUCCGCGUGCAGGAUGAAGGCCCUCGGGUUGUAAACUGCUUUUGUACAGAACGAAAAGGUUUCUACUAAUACUAGGAGCUCAUGACGGUACUGUAAGAAUAAGCACCGGCUAACUACGUGCCAGCCGCCGCGGUAA
rnacentral:rRNA from 1 species